rnacentral:rRNA from 1 species
GACGAACGCUGGCGGCGUGCUUAACACAUGCAAGUCGAACGGAAAGGCCCUGCUUUUGUGGGGUGCUCGAGUGGCGAACGGGUGAGUAACACGUGAGUAACCUGCCCUUGACUUUGGGAUAACUUCAGGAAACUUGGGCUAAUACCGGAUAGGAGCUCCUGCUGCAUGGUGGGGGUUGGAAAGUUUCGGUGGUUGGGGAUGUACUCGCGGCUUAUCAGCUUGUUGGUGGGGUAGUGUCUUACCAAGGCUUGGACGGGUAGCCGGCCUGGGAGGAUGACCGGAGAAAUUAGGACUGAGAUACGGCCCAGACUACAACGGGAGGCAACGGUGGAGAAUAUUGCACAGUGGGCGGAAGCCAGAUGCGGCAACGCCGCGUGCGGGAUGACGGCCUGCGGGUUGUAAACCGCUGUCGCCUGUGACGAAGCGUGAGUGACGGUAAUGGGUAAAGAAGCACCGGCUAACUACGUG